CACGUAGGGCGCGAGCGUUGUCCGGAAUUAUUGGGCGUAAAGAGCUCGUAGGCGGCCUGUUGCGUCCGCUGUGAAAGCCCGGGGCUUAACCCCGGGUCUGCAGUGGAUACGGGCAGGCUAGAGGUAGGUAGGGGAGAAUGGAAUUCCCAGUGUAGCGGUGAAAUGCGUAGAUAUUGGGAGGAACACCGGUGGCGAAGGCGGCUUUCUGGUCCAAAACUGACACUGAGAUGCGAAAG
rnacentral:rRNA from 1 species